rnacentral:rRNA from 1 species
GAUGAACGCUAGCGGCAGGCCUAAUACAUGCAAGUCGAACGGUGUCUUCGGACAUAGUGGCGCACGGGUGCGUAACACGUAUGCAACCUACCUUACAUUGGGGGAUAGCCUUUCGAAAGGGAGAUUAAUACCGCAUAAGACAGUAGCUGGGCAUCCAGCAGCUGUUAAAGAUUUAUCGAUGUAAGCUGGGCAUGCGUCCAAUUAGCUAGUUGGUGAGGUAACGGCUCACCAAGGCAAUGAUUGGUAGGGGAACUGAGAGGUCAAUCCCCCACACCGGCACUGAGAUACGGGCCAGACUCCUACGGGAGGCAGCAGUAGGGAAUAUUGGGCAAUGGACGCAAGCCUGACCCAGCCAUGCCGCGUGCAGGAUGAAGGCGUUAUGCGUUGUAAACUGCUUUUAUACAGGAAGAAACGACUCUUGCGAGAGGCAUUGACGGUACUGUAUGAAUAAGCACCGGCUAACUCCGUGCCAGCCGCCGCAGUAAUAC